UCAAAAGGCGGCAGCCGCGGCCGCAGGCGGGCUCGGGUGGCCGCGGGCCCCGCCGGCACCGGCAGGCCACUAUUCCUUCCCCCGCCGCGGGCUCCGCCGGCGAUCGCAACGGCCCCACGGGCCCGGGGCCAUGCGUGGUUGGUGGCUGUCCGAUCCGACCGCCGCUCGCCGGCGGCACUCGAGGAGGAGCGAGCCGCCGUCGCCUGGGUUGUUCGGCGGUUGGGCGGGCCCACUCACCUACCACGGCGUCGGCGUCAGUGGGGGAGCCGAAGGGAAGCGCGAUGGUGAUGAUGACGGGGAUCGGAUAAGGAUCGUUGGCGAUGUGGUUAGUCACAUAUGCAUCCCAUUAUUUAAGGUUUAGUGCGAGAAAUUGGAAGAAGCCAAAUGCCCAGUCCUAUCAUCAGGGAGUCGUGCUUCAAGAUGCACCGCUGUCACAAGCAUGUCGAGGUCAGUUUCGAGAGAUGAAUCAUGCAACAGAGCAUCAUGGAUCCAUCAGAUGGAAUGGUUUGAGCCCCUAUGUAAUGGAGUCAGCUAUUGUCUACAGUAGCAAGGACUGCGGCUGAUGCAGGAAAAGUACAAGUUGGUGGUCUUGGAACUGCCCGUUAUAGUUUUCACUAAUUGGUCAUACUGAAUAUAAUUCUCUUGAAACAGUUUCAAUCAAGGGACGUGCAGAUAAUAAUGAAAAGUUCAUUAGACAUGCACCUUUAUGCAAA